rnacentral:rRNA from 1 species
GUGGGGAAUAUUGGACAAUGGGCGAAAGCCUGAUCCAGCCAUGCCGCGUGUGUGAAGAAGGUCUUCGGAUUGUAAAGCACUUUAAGUUGGGAGGAAGGGCAGUAAGUUAAUACCUUGCUGUUUUGAUGUUACCGACAGAAUAAGCACCGGCUAACUUCGUGCCAGCAGCCGCGGUAAUACGAAGGGUGCAAGCGUUAAUCGGAAUUACUGGGCGUAAAGCGCGCGUAGGUGGUUCAGUAAGUUGGAAGUGAAAUCCCCGGGCUCAACCUGGGAACUGCCUCCAAAACUACUGAGCUAGAGUACGGUAGAGGGUAGUGGAAUUUCCUGUGUAGCGGUGAAAUGCGUAGAUAUAGGAAGGAACACCAGUGGCGAAGGCGACUACCUGGACUGAUACUGACACUGAGGUGCGAAAGCGUGGGGAGCAAACAGGAUUAGAAACCCGAGUAGUCC